CACAAUGAUUAUUAAAUAGCCGCAAUAUUAUGUGCUAAGGUAGCAUAAUCAUUUGCCUUUUAAUUCAAGGCUAGAAUGAAAGGUUUAACACUUUAAAUUCUGUAAUCUCAUGAUUAUUUGAAAUUUUAAUAUAAAUAAAAAUAUUUAUUAUUUUAGGAGGACGACAAGACCCUAUUGAACUUAACAUGUUUGUUUUUCUGGGGUGGAAAAUAAACUAAAUCUUUUUAAUUCUUUUUAAAACAACAAAAACCUUUAAUUUUAAGCAAGUUACCAUAGGGAUAACAGCACAAUUUUUUCUUAUAGAUCGUAUUCAAGAAAAAGUUUAUGACCUCGAUGUUGAAUUAUUAUUCUUUUACUUUGAAGCAAAAUUCUAAAAAGAAAGUCUGUUCGACCUUUAAAUAUUUACAUGAUUUGAGUUCAAACCGGCGUGAGCCAGGUUGGAUUCUAUCUCCUUUUAUUCUUUUCAGUACGAAAGGACCAAAAGAAUAUUAAUAUAAUUUUAU
rnacentral:rRNA from 1 species